CCAAUAGCGUAUAUUAAAGUUGUUGCAGUUAAAAAGCUCGUAGUUGAAUUUCGGGAUCAAUAUGUUGGUCGUGCCUCGGUACGUACUAGCUUAUUGGUUUCUCCUUUCUGAAGAACCAUGAUGUCAUUUAUUUGGUGUCGUGGGGAAUCAGGACUGUUACUUUGAAAAAAUUAGAGUGUUUAAAGCAGGCUCACGCUUGAAUACAUUAGCAUGGAAUAAUGAAAUAGGACGUUUGAUUCUAUUUUGUUGGUUUCUAGGAUCGACGUAAUGAUUAAUAGGGAUAGUUGGGGGCAUUAGUAUUCAAUUGUCAGAGGUGAAAUUCUUGGAUUUAUUGAAGAAUAACUACUGCGAAAGCAUUUGCCAAGGAUGUUUUCAUUAAUCAAGAACGAAAGUUAGGGGAUCGAAGACGAUCAGAUACCGUCGUAGUCUUAACCAUAAACUAUGCCGACUAGGGAUCGGAUGAUGUUAAUUUUUUAAUGACUCAUUCGGCGCCUUACG
rnacentral:misc_RNA from 1 species